UCAGAUCUCGAUAAUAUAUAUUAUAUACACUAGUCACAAAAAUUAAGGGAUGUAAAAAAAAUUCCAAAUUUUUGGGUGAUUUUCAACGAGCUGUAACUCCGAGGAAAAUGGUCGUACA